UAAACAACCACAAAACAGCCCAAAGACGGGCAUGUCUCAGACCCCAUUUAAGAAAAAAUCUGAAGGGAAACCUAGAGAAAACCCAGGGAAAAUCAGGGGGAAAAAACAACUACACCACAGGCAGUUUCACCCUCUGACAUCCCAGGCAUUGUAAGCAUUAAACACAGCCUAAUUCCUACAUCAACAUACAAAGCCUCCCACCAAAGGCCUACUCACCUCAGCUCCUGCUACCUGGGACAUCAUAUCCAGCUCUCAACAGAAAAGUGCAAGCAUGCUAGGGAAUUCCCUGGUGGUUCAGUAGUGAAGACUCAAUGCUUUCCCUGCUAAGGGCCCUGGUUCGAUCCCUGGUCAGAGAACUAAGAUCCCACAAGACAAGCAGUGGAGAAAAAAAAUAAAUUACAAGGCAAGCUAAAAGGCAGAAAGUACAGUUUGAACAGACAGAGCCAGCGUCAGAACCAAACACAGACAUGGCAGAGAUGCUGGGAUUACCAGGUUGGGAAUUUAAAACAACUGUGGAAGAUAAGUCAUUCUAACAGAGAUUGCUGUGUGACUCCCUAAAUCCAUCUUUCCCUUAGCCCCAGGUUUUAGGGGGACACAGUCCUCUCCCAGCUGAGGAUUACAUUUGCCAGCCUCCCUUGGGCUUCAGUGCGUCCUGUGACUAAGCUCUGCCCCAGGAGACGUGAGUGUGGUAAAGCAAGCAGUCUCUAGGAUGCGCCCUUGAAGAGAACUGGUAUGUCCCGCCCCUCCUUCACCUCCUCCGCUGGCCGGCAGAUGGCCUUGGUGGUGGGAGUCAGACCAGGAGUGGGAUCAAAACGGAAAUAACACCAAAGGAGCCAGGAUGUCUGGCAUGGCGGGGCCAUGCCAGGACUGCUUAUACUUGUACUGGAUGUGAGACAGAAAUAACCUCCCCUGGGGGCAGAUUGGGAGUUUGGAAUGGACAUGUUCACACUACUGUAUAUAAGAUCGAUCAACAAGGACCUACUACAUAGCAUAGGGGACUCUACACAAUACUCU
ensembl:lncRNA